rnacentral:sRNA from 2 species
GCUGUGUCGGUUUGAUUGGGAUACUCAUCAAUAAUCACCUGAAACCGAGAAAGUCGCUCUCGCCGAUGGCGUGCCGAUAUGCGUCCGAUUGGGCGUAGGGUCGGAUUACAGAGGCGGAGUUGGCGCUCAAAUCCUAUUCUCUCGGAGUUUCAUCACAUCAUCGGCACAGCCC